UCCAUCUUCUUCUUAGCUGCAGGAGGCUGUACCAGUACAUGCAUUGUUAUAACCCCAGCAGGAAGGUCACCAUAGGUUAUUCUGGAAUCAGCAAGUGUCUUACUAUUCUCCAAUAUUUUACCAGCAUGUAUUAGUUUCAAAUCAUUUACUGACUUGGGUAAUACUGUUUUAUCUCGGGGCCACUCUGUAACUAGCCUUUGCUUCAGAGUUCCAACAGUCAUUGAUGACGCAUAAGUACUAUGCCCUAUAUCUGUUCCGUCAUAAAUGCGGAAUUUAAGCUCAAUUUGCUCUGCUCCUUCAGCCAUAAUAACCUUUCUUCUCUUCUGCUCAGUUUGCAGUUACCACACGGUAUCCAAUCAACACAAGAAAAUUUUUAUCUCACUCCACUCACCUCCGUGAAUUGGCCAAAAAGUUUGUUGGGUGUGAAAACAUGAAAAUACGGUACAUCAGAAUCAACUGCUAGAGAACCAAUCCAAUCAAGUAAGCACUUCAUAUGACCCAAUGGAUUCUCUGUAUAACAGCUCCACUCUUGCUGCUUGUUUCUGAUCAAGAUCAAGAAUCCAUGAAAGAAAGAAAGGAAGAUCGCUGGAUCAGCGAGAGUAAAAAGAAACAGAAACAGAAACCGAAACCGAAACAAAUCGCUUAGGGUUCUCAGUUACGGUAUCGGUGCU
rnacentral:misc_RNA from 1 species